GCCGUGCCGCCGCGCCCCACGUAGGUUGUUGUGCACCAGCUCCGAGAUGAUCAUCUUCUCGAAGGCGGCGGCGUCGCUGAGGUUGCGCCGGCAGUCGGCCAUCUUGGCGCCCUCGGCCGGGAAGGCACAGUGGAAGACGAAGAUGAACAUGCCCUGGAAGGCGUUGAAGGUGGUGAAGAGAUAGGCCAUGACGAUGGACUCCUUGUUGAUGAAGAGGAGGCCGAAGGCCCAGAUUGGAAAAGGAAAACAAACUCUCCCACAUUUUCAACUCCCAGUUGGGUUUUCAACUUUGAAUGAACUGAGCUGAACUCGUUGGAUAAAAUGCAAAGGACACAGAUAAGGCUACUGCUGUCACGAGCUGGUUUAGUUCUUCAACAAACUCCAGUUCCAGGUGCUGAGCCAGUGACUUCCACCACUUCAGGGAUUUUGACUUUCUUUAAAGUUUGGCAGCAAACGUUUACUGCUGCCUAUUGCUUUUGUAAUUUGAUUACAAUUACUGUAAUAGAUCAGAA